ACCAAUAGCGACGUGGAGGCAGCUAUAAAGUCGGCAGCGGAGGAAUAAGCUGCCCUUUUCCAGCCGGGAGGGCUCGGCGGGAGCCGGAUCGCACCGGCGUGAACAGGAUCGCGGCGGCCUGAAGGGCGGUGAGGCGGGGGCGAUGAACGGAGGACAUUCCUGGGGGUCUAGGGCGGUGCGGGUCGGGCACCGGCACCCUCCGUGCCCGAACGGCGGGUGGCCGCCGGCUAGCCCUGGCUGCUGGGAGGCUGCCUGGCCCGCAGGGCGGGCUGCUCCCGCCGCUCCGAGAUGGUUAAACGCGGUAUCGCUUGUUGCUAACGGACUAGGCCGGGAUGGGGUGGUGAGCCACAGGCAGGGUGACUUCAUCCCCACCGCCCGUAAGCUACAUCAGGAAGCUGCAGGGAAAGCACGAGUGGGUCUCAGGCGGGUGAAAUUGGGGCUGGAGUAACCACUUCGUGCCUUGGCGUAGCUGCUAUUCAAGGGAUAGUGUAGGUUGCAGGCUCCAGAACGGAGCAAGUGAUGCAGUUCUGAGUACGGCUAAAAAAUGCACUCUUUUGGGGCUGCUGUGUCAAAUGGGGAAGCUGCUGUUUCUCAUGCUGUGCAACUUGUGAGUCAGGGCAGUUUUUAAAGUGCAAAGAAGCAGCUGCAGAACUGGCUGAAGUACAGGAAUCAAAAGUCAUUGACUUCUAGUCUACCACAUGGGGUAGCUUAAGGUAAACAUCAUGGCAGGUGGUGGGUGCAGUAGUGUGGGUAAUGGAAAGGAUUCACAGUCUGAACUCUGGUGCUAGAUCACAUAGACACAAUUUAAAUCUGGGAGUCCUUGAUGCUAACUCACUUUUUGGAACAUAAGUUGCUCGGGUAAUGUUCUUUCCCCAGCCUCAAAUCAAAUGCAGCUUUGUAAUUCUUGAAUUGUUUGCUGCUGUAUCUCCACUUUGGCUUCUAUAUUAGGCCAAUUUUAUAGCUUACAGAUUUAAUAAAGUUUUCAAAAGA